CUGAGGCGCCAGAGAGCGCUGAGGCGCCAGAGAGCGCUGAGGCGCCAGAGAGCGCUGAGGCGCCAGAGAGCGCUGAGGCGCCAGAGAGCGCUGAGGCGCCAGAGAGCGGAGACUCAAGACAACGGCCGAGAGCGGGAAGCAGAACAACGGGACGGGAUUGACUCGGAGGAAGAAGGACUACCCAUUGUGGGGAAAGUUUGAAUGUGGUUAAACUGGAAUCUACACUGAAGAAUCUGGUGGACGGUGAGACGGCUCAGAAUACACCAGCAUUUGGAUAUUCUGCAAGUAAAAUGAGGUUUUUCUCCACUUGAACCCUCAUGAUGGAAUUCCAGAUGGCUGCACGAUCACUCAGGAG